rnacentral:tRNA from 1 species
GCCCGAGUGGUGAAAUGGUAGACACGCAGGACUUAAAAUCCUGUAUCCUCAAAAGAUGUGCGGGUUCAAGUCCCGCCUCGGGUA